rnacentral:rRNA from 1 species
GAUGAACGCUGGCGGCGUGCCUAAUACAUGCAAGUCGAGCGAACAGACGAGGAGCUUGCUCCUCUGACGUUAGCGGCGGACGGGUGAGUAACACGUGGAUAACCUACCUAUAAGACUGGGAUAACUUCGGGAAACCGGAGCGAAUACCGGAUAAUAUAUUGAACCGCAUGGUUCAAUAGUGAAAGACGGUUUUGCUGUCACUUAUAGAUGGAUCCGCGCCGCAUUAGCUAGUUGGUAAGGUAACGGCUUACCAAGGCAACGAUGCGUAGCCGACCUGAGAGGGUGGUCGGCCACACUGGAACUGGGACGCGCUCCAGACUCCUACGGGAGGCAGCAGUAGCGAAUCUUCCGCAAUGGGCGAAAGCCUGACGGAGCGACGCCGCGUGAGUGAUGAAGGUCUUCGGAUCGUAAAACUCUGUUAUUAGGGAAGAACAAAUGUGUAAGUAACUAUGCACGUCUUGACGGUACCUAAUCAGAAAGCCACGGCUAACUACGUG